GAAAAUACGAGAUAAAGAGUGAAAUUGAGAAGGGGGAGAGUGCAUCUGAUGUUAAAAGGGGCGAUUAUGUCAAAGGAAGGUGGCGCAAGGGGGAAUGGGAGAAAGGUGACUAUAUUUCUAACAGAAAAGGAGAGCUUGAUAAGAAUGAUCCCGGGUAUGAACCAGGCGAAUUUGUACCUGAUAGGUGGCGGAAAGGUGACGGGGCAGCUGCAAGAGAUGAUUUCAACUAUAGCAGAACACGCAGGCAUGAUUUUGCCAAGGAUAAGGGUUGGAAAGGGGACCUUGAAUGGACAACGCCACCUUUUGCCAAGGACAAAGGCUGGAGAAACGACCGUGAAUGGACGCCACCUUCUGCCAAGGACAAAGGAUGGAGAAAUGAUUGUGAAUGGACGCCACCUUCGGCCAAGGACAAAGGAUGGAGAAAUGAUCAUGAAUGGACGCCACCUUCGGCCAAGGACAAAGGAUGGAGAAAUGAUCGUGAAUGGACGCCACCUUCUUCAGGCAAGCAUUCUGGGGAGAAAGAUGUUGGUAAUAGAAGUGGUGGAAUUCAGCAUGUGAAAAGGUUAUCUAGAUAUGAACCUAGCAUCCCAG
rnacentral:lncRNA from 1 species